AGUGAACGCUGGCGGUAGGCCUAACACAUGCAAGUCGAACGGCAGCACAGUAAGAGCUUGCUCUUACGGGUGGCGAGUGGCGGACGGGUGAGGAAUACAUCGGAAUCUACUUUUUCGUGGGGGAUAACGUAGGGAAACUUACGCUAAUACCGCAUACGACCUACGGGUGAAAGCAGGGGAUCUUCGGAUCUUGCGCGAUUGAAUGAGCCGAUGUCGGAUUAGCUAGUUGGCGGGGUAAAGGCCCACCAAGGCGACGAUCCGUAGCUGGUCUGAGAGGAUGAUCAGCCACACUGGAACUGAGACACGGUCCAGACUCCUACGGGAGGCAGCAGUGGGGAAUAUUGGACAAUGGGCGCAAGCCUGAUCCAGCCAUACCGCGUGGGUGAAGAAGACCUUCGGGUUGUAAAGCCCUUUUGUUGGGAAAGAAAAGCAGCAGGUUAAUACCCCGCUGUUCUGACGGUACCCAAAGAAUAAGCACCGGCUAACUUCGUG
rnacentral:rRNA from 1 species